rnacentral:rRNA from 1 species
GACGAACGCUGGCGGCGUGCUUAACACAUGCAAGUCGAACGGAAAGGCCCUGCUUUUGUGGGGUGCUCGAGUGGCGAACGGGUGAGUAACACGUGAGUAACCUGCCCUUGACUUUGGGAUAACUUCAGGAAACUGGGGCUAAUACCGGAUAGGAGCUCCUGCUGCAUGGUGGGGGUUGGAAAGUUUCGGCGGGUGGGGAUGGACUCGCGGCUUAUCAGCUUGUUGGUGGGGUAGUGGCUUACCAAGGCUUUGACGGGUAGCCGGCCUGAGAGGGUGACCGGCCACAUUGGGACUGAGAUACGGCCCAGACUCCUACGGGAGGCAGCAGUGGGGAAUAUUGCACAAUGGGCGGACGCCUGAUGCAGCAACGCCGCGUGCGGGAUGACGGCCUUCGGGUUGUAAACCGCUUUCGCCUGUGACGAAGCGUGAGUGACGGUAAUGGGUAAAGAAGCACCGGCUAACUACGUG